GUAAUUAAUUAAUCAUUUUAUCGUAUACAUUUUUAUUAGUGUUAAUAGUUAAUUUAUCAAAGUAAACGGCCACUUUUACAUAAAACAUUAUCUACACGAAAGUUCUUCAAAGUUUUAUCGUCUGCCUAUGAUUAAUUUAAUGGUCGUUGUGAUAAUAUGUAAAGUAUAUUUUAUAGUGUUUUGUAUAUUAAAGUUUAUCGCUUGCAACUAAAGAUGUCCGGGAAACUCAAUGAUCGCCAAUUGGAACUCUAAUUGGAGAUUGCAGAGUGCCACCCAAACUUGGCGAUGGGUUGUUUUGGAGGGCCUUUGGAAAGUCAGGCUACUAAAUAAACCUUCCGUGUUCGCGUCUGCCAGUGGCGUUGUAUCAACAUGAAGAUGUGGGCUCUAAACUUUGAGUGCCAGGGACUGACUAUGGAAGUCUCCAUGUCGCUGGUCACCAUUGAGGUGCAAAACACCUUGAAAAAAUUGGUGAUUCUGAAUCCUUCAUCUCUAGGAACGAUUCAUGAAGAAAGAAUUAAACAAACAUUUAAUGAACAGAUUUUUUAUAAGAUUAUUAUCAAUAAUGACAUUGCAUAUGAGAGAAAAUUGUCAAAUAUAAUUUCAUUUUAAUUUAAUAUAGUUAAUUAUGACAUCACUGUAUAUAAAGAAUAUGAUUAUUAUCAUUUGGUUAAUUUCAGUAUUACAUAGUAUUAGAUAAAAAUUUUAUUGUAAAAUUGCACAUCAAAAUAUGUUUUAUUAUCUAUUAUUAGGAGGAAAUAUUAUUUAACUAUUAUUAUUAUCCCUAAUAGCCCAGUGAAUGUGACCUCUGCCUCCAAUUCCGGAGGGUGUGGGUUCGAACCCGUUCCGGGGCACGCACCUCCAACUUUUCAGUUGUGUGCAUUUUAAGAAACUAAAUAUCACGUGUCUCAAACAGUGAAGGAAAACAUCGUGAGAAAA